UUCUGCUUUCACUUUCUUUCCUCUCUUGUUGGAAACCUUCGUUGUUUAUUUUAUUUUAACGCAUCUUUCUCUCCUCUUGAGAUUUUGUUUUGACCCAAGAAAAAGCCUCAAAAUCCCGACACUGUGCUGAGAGAGAGAAAGACACACACACAGAGAGUUGUGUGUGUGUGGCCUGGAGCUGAUGAUGAAUGUGGCUGGGAUUGAUAAAUCAACCAUGUGUAUAUUUCACCCUAUUUCUGUCUUGCACUAUUUUCGCCAGUUCCAAAUGAUAUGUGAAUGGUGUAGAACUUCUAACCGAGACAAAAUACGAGGGGAAAAAAGCAAUCUGUUUCUGAAGAAGGGUCUAGGCCCGAAACGUCAGCCUUCCUGCUCCUCUGGUGCUGCUUGGCCUGCUGUGUUCAUCCAGCUCUACACCUUGUUGUCUCGGUUUCUACCCGUCGUCUUUAUACAGUAAAUUUGCCUUUUGGUGAAAUUCUUUUUAUACUUUGUAUAAAAUGUGGAAAUUUUAUAUUUUAAGAAGUGGUUUGCUAUAUAUUUCUCACCAUAGAAAUUCUUUUGAAUCUUUUAGUAAUUGCAUCUGUCAGGCUUGUGUAACUGCAUUGGUGUUAAUCUUUGAAAUUUAUUUAUACUGGUAUGAUCAUUUAUCUUACUGUCCAACUGUAAUCUUAUUUUGAUUCUUGAUUUAAUUAAUAUCAUGUAACAGGCGGCUGCAACUAGAAACAAAGCAGUAAUGGAAGAAUUGUGAUGAUGUCAUAAAUUUGGCAGAGGUCCUCAGCAUAGCCAGGAAUUUCCAGGAUUUCUUUCGUGGGUAGAAUAUUUAAAGCCCAGCUGUACAAGGCAAUCGCUGCUUAUAGAGCAUGCCCUGAACUGUUGGGCACUGCUGGCUAACAUGGAAGCCCAGAGGAGGAGCAUGCUGUGAACUGGAGUCACCAAGUAACUGCCUUUCAUGUCAGGAAUUGCCAUUGUUUAGUGUGCCUUCACUGAAUAAGAUAUAGUAGACUGCAUGCUGGUGAGAUGAGAAUAGGUAAUAAUGAGAGGUAAAUGAAGACAAAUAGGCUUCUUGGCACUCACUAGCAAGAUACUCAUCUCACCAUUCAACCCUUGAGUGGAAAAUCAGACUUUUUUUCUCAACAUCAGGAAGCUGAUUUUUUUCCAAUUUCACCCUAUUUUCCCAAAAGACUCAUCAUUGCACGGGUCCUUCAAGAGACUGACAAAAUUCAGUCCCAGGUUUUUUCCAAUUCCAUUCAGGAGAAUCUGUUACCUUCAGUGCUGUCACCUUCAAAAGUGGUGUCUAGGCUAUGGAACUUCCAGGGCAGGAGAUUUUGGAUCAAAAUGUUCAAGUUGUUAGAACUGAGAAUAUUUAAGCUAUUAGAAUUGUGAGAGGUUCAUGCCAGUGCGCUUGGAAAGGAAUCCUAAAAUAAAGUCUCAACAGUCCAAGGGAAAGAAACUGGAAAGUAUCAAUUAAGUGAAGAUUUGAAAAGCUGAGAAAGGAAAGUUAUUCCCCUGGGAUUGAUUGUAACAGAUGGUGUUGGGAACAGGUUGAAACUUUGCUUUUAUGAUAGUGUUAAGAUCUUUUUAACUGCAGCAUAUAUUUACAUAUUAAGUUUUUUUUCUCUUUUGUGCAAAACAUUUCUGUUGUUAAAGAAUAUCUGCAGAGUCAUGUAAAUUUGUUUCAGUGACCAACCACCACAUUAUCCAAUUACAAAUAUUAGAAUUAUCAAGCCAGGUUUUAUUUUGGAAUUUGACUUGUUCAGCUGGGAUCAUAACAAAAUCUCCAAAAAUAAUUAGGAGCUGAAAGAUUGAUAUACCACACUUUCAAUAGUUAAUUUUCAAAGAAGAACUGUAAUUCUUAGGCUUACCAUAUUCCACCCUAGCCGAUUUAUUAUGCAAAUUUGAACGUUUGUAUCUCCUUUCCAUUUCUUGAAGCCUACUUAUCUGGGGACAAUAUUCCUACAUAUUGAGGGGUAAGUGUGAUAACUACACACAAAUGACAAAAACAUGAGCUAUUUACUCUCUGUUAGGCCUCCGCAUACAGAGAAGAAGGCAAGGGAAAUGUUGACCUAGUGGUAUUAUUGCUGGUUUAUUAGCCCAGAAACCCGGCUCAUGUGCAGGGGUCCUGGGUUCUAGUCCCACUAUGGCAAAUGGUAAAAUUUAAAUUCAAUAACUAUCUGGAAUUAAGAGUCUAACAAUGACCAAACCACUAUCGAUUGCAGGGAAAAAUCCAUCUAGUUCAUUAAUAUCCUUCAGGGAAAGAAAUCUGCCAUCCUUACCUGGUCUGGCCUACGUAUGACUCCAGACUACAGGGAAUUAUGGUCGGUCAACUGCCCUCUGAAAUGGUCUAGAAAACCAUUCAGUUGUAACAAUCGGUAUGAAGUCUGAACAGCGCAUGCACUUCAGCGGUUCAAAAAUGCUGACUCAGCCAGCAAUGUCCACAUCUCAUGAGUGAACUUAAAAAAAUACAAAAUGCAGAAUCAUUCACUCAAAUGAAAUUUUUCUUUAACAAAUAAAUCUCAGUUUUCAUUUUUCCCCGAUGCAAUAACCUUGCUACACGUGGGUGGGAGUGGAACACAUAGGAACAUUAACAGAAGACUGUAGAAAAUUUUCCAACUUUUAUGUCUUAGUCUGAUUUUUCCAAUCCUGAGACCAAAAUAGCUCCAAAUACAUAGGAGUGCUAACAUUACUUAUAGGUCAACUUCACAGAAUUUCCCAAGGUUGACCUAAUUAUGAAUGUACAGUGAGUCUCCAAUCUAGAUUGGAAUUGCCACUUUCUGCAGAAGUGAGACAUAAUUCUCAAUAGUAGCUUUUAAUGGGUGCAGCUUUGACAGUGUUGCUAAUAGAAUCUAAAAAUGCUUGGCAAAAACACAGAACAUUUGAAUUUCCUAGCGUUGGUUUCUGCCAGAAGUGUAGCAACGGAAGACAGUCAUCACAACCUACUUGCUGUGCUCGUCUAUAGAAGAGGCUUAUGAUCUGCAUUGUGAGUGCAGGUGCUAUGUUUCAAAAAAAAAACAAGGCAGAAGGUGAGAAAACAAAUAUUAACGAUUGCGGUCUUCAUGUAAUUAC